GAAAAUAUAAAACAGAGGGCGUGAGAACUAUAAUUUAUAGUUUCCAAUGGGCAAUUACUGACCUCUACUCAAUACACCACUAGUGUAACAUACUAGAUUUUGGUAUAAAAAUAAAAAUAAAUAAAAAUAGUGUGAGAAACUAUUUUUAUUGGAUUUAUAGAAGUAAAACAUAAGUCAGAAGUGACUUGUGCUGAAAUCGGAAUGAAAACAGAAGAUCUAGAAUUUUCUAUUGAAAACGGGACAGAUAAAUUAGCAGAAAAUGCACAGUCUCAGAAAAUUAUGAAAAUUGGAGGAUAAUUCAGAAAUAUUUUUAUGAGGGUAGAUUUAAAGUUUCAUAUUUUUCUGACACCCGUAGAGUGAGAAAUAAAAUCCGAGAGUUA
rnacentral:lncRNA from 1 species